GCUUUUGCCAUUUCAUUUUAUACACAGAAAUAAGAAUAUUCUUCUCUUUCAUUCUUCUACCAUAACUAGGGUUUUCAUUAUUUCUUUUGAUUUGCUUCCGCAUUAAUGUGAGUUUUAUGAUAUGGGAGCAACGAAUCCAGUUAAAUCUACUUAUUCUCUUUUGAUUGAUGGCACCUUUGAAGAGCUUCUCAUUGAGUUUUGAAGCUGGAAGUUUGAGUGUUACCCAAUUCAAAGUUCUUUUAACAGAUUUCUCUUUGUUUUUGUCGUCUCUGUCAUUGUUGAGCAUUGUUGAGCAAGGCUCUUGCUUCUUCCAGCUCUGAAGAAAAGUGGGUCAUUCUCUGAAGAGGCCACUCAAAGUUGUUAAACACUCCAAUGGACUCUAUGUUCUUCAUCUGAAUGGUAUCACUCUCUAAGACCAUCAUCACCACACUAUUGCUACUCACAGAUUACCUUCAUCAUCUAAUAAAUUUGUUGUUAUAUCUACUUUUAUUUUUCCUAAGGCUAAUGAUGUCACUUUUUCUUCUAUGUCUUUUCCUAGUUCUUAUAUCUCUACUAUUUCUAAUUUAAAUGUUAAUGUUCAACAAGAUGCAUCUUUACUGUCUUCUUUUAAAAUGGCUUCAAAUUUGUAUGUCGAUCCUCCACUUUCUGAUUCUUUUCAAGCUAAUGUUCUUCCUGUUCAUCAUGACUUGUAGUUUUCUACCUCUACUAUUGAUAAUGUUAGUCUUGCUUUUAUUUGACAUCAAAUAUUAGGGAAUAUACCUUUUGCCAAAAUAAAAACAAUCUCUUCUCUUAAAUCUGUUUUUCCUUUAAGCAACUCUUUCAUUGUUCUAUAUGCCCAAUGGCAAGACAACAAAGAUUGUCUUUUCUUCAGAGUACAAUUCACUCCACUUAACCUUUCCAAUUGGUUCAUAUUAAUCUUUGGGGACCUUAUCACACUCAAACUUAUAGUGGUUAUAAGUAUUUUUUUACUAUUAUAGAUGACUAUACUAGGUGAACUUGGACUCAUCUGUUGUAUGCCAAGUCCAGUACUUUCCCAUGAUCAAAACCUUCUUCUUUUACAUUCAAAAUCAGUUCAAACUCAACACUCAAACUAUUAGAUCAAAUAAUGCAUUUGAACUUGGUUCUAGUACUGAUGUUAUUCAUUUUUCUCCUCUUAUGGGAUUUUUCAUCAAACUUCUUGUCAUCACACCUCUCAACAAAAUGGGGUGAUGGAAAGAAAACACAAACACUUAUUAGAAAUCUUCAAGGCACUUCUUUUUCAGUCUAAGUUAACAGUAAAGUAUUGAGAGGAUUGUGUACUCACUUCUAUUUUUUUAAUUAACAGAUUUCCCUCUCCUUUAUUACAUAAUAAAACUCCCUUUGAGCUCCUUCAUGGUUUAAUUUCUUCCUAUUCAAACCUUAUAGCUUUUGGCUGUCUUUUUUAUGCCUCUGUUCCCAUCCUUCAAAGGGAUAAAUUUCAAUCUAGGUCUAUCUCUUCUAUUUUUCUUGGUUACUAUAUUGGCAAGAUGGGUUACAAGUUGUUAUCUAUCUCUUCUCACAAGGUAUUCUAUUUAAGGAAUGUUAUUUUUCAUGAAUCUAUUUUCCCCUAUACUUCUCCUUCUCAUGUUUUUCUCUUUUCUCCAGCUCCCCCUCCUACUAUUGAAAUUCCUGUGUCUACACCUUCUUCUACACCGCUUAUUCCAUCUAGAAGGUCUACUAUGCUUUCCUCUACUCCUACCUAUCUAUCCGAUUAUAUGUGUUUAUCUAUUUCUCAAUCCAAGGUUUGUUGUACUUUUGUUGGAGCUGGUUUGCUCGAACCUUAAUAUUGUCAUCAAGCAACUGGUCAUCCUGCUUCGCAGGCUGCUAUGCUGUAGGAAUUUCAUGCACUUGAAGCUAAUAAUACUUGAGAGAUUAUGAUUUUACCCCCGGUAAGAGAGCAAUACCAUCUAAGUGGGUAUAUAAUAUCAAACAACGAGUUGAUGGGUCUAUUGAGAGGUAUAAAGCCUGAUUAGUCAAAAGGAAGAGGCCAACUAUAAUGAAUAUUUUUCCUCGAUUGUUAAAAUGUCCUCUAUUUAAGUGUCUUUUAGUUGUAGCAGUUAAACGCUAUUGGAAAGUGUAUCAACUUGAUGUCAACAAUGCUUCCUCCAUGGGGAUCUUUUAGAAGAGGUGUAUAUGAAAAUUCCUCAAGGUAUUGAUGUUUCA